AGGAUUUUUGGAUUGCUAAAGAAGUUUUAGGUACUCUUCUUCGCACUAAAGCGAACAAGGGAAAUUGGUGCCGCUAGCGGGAUAGAUAAAGAAAUGAUAAACCUGUAAAAAAGUAACUUUCCUGAGACUUAAAAUACACGGAAACGGAACCUGUAAUUAACAAGGAUUCAAUAUACAUCUUUCAUCAGAAAUAAGGUGGCUGUAAAGGUGGACUAGCAGUGGACAGAAGAGCUGUGGUGGGGAUAAACUACCUGUCUAAAAUGCAACUCCAAUAUGAGCUUGUCAACAUGGACUAUUCAUAGAAGGCAGUGUAGCCAAGUUAAGUCAAUGCCUGCACAGUGUACUGGACCACUGUCUCAACACUACAACUGACACAAUGGGUGAGGUAGCUGAUGCCUGUGCUUUGUGCAAUGUGGAGUUUGCUGUCAAGUAUGGAGAUAUUUAGUUACAGAAUGUAGUACAGCACCACUGACUCACAGUUUUCGGUUGGGAUAUACCACCAUCUGAGAAGUCAUAUAGGAAACUUGCUUGGUGAUUUGGGAAAACAUGAGGCAAAUAUUGUUUCUGGAAUGACAUGAGGAAAGAUGGAUUGAGAUUGCAAAUGGUUUUAAUAAAAAUGCAAAACAUAUCAAAAAGUGCGUUCUUUAGGCUCACUUACUAUAAUUAUAAAAAUUAUUUUUCCAUUGUUUUACUUGCUUUAAGUGAGGCGGAUUGUAAGUUCACUUAUAUACAUGUCAGAGCAUACGAGAAAUGUAGUGACUCAUCUGUUUGUGAGCAAUCAGUUUUGCAUGAAAAACUUGUCAAUGAAGAUUUACUAACACCAGAGAAAAGCCCCAAAUGAAACAGUUGAGUACUGGUGCCAUAUGUCAUUGUUGGAGAUGAGGCCCUUGGUCUCCAUAAUGUACAUUUGGCAUUCUGGCAAAUAAAUGGAGAAUUUUGUAUCACCCGAAAGAUGUUUGAGAAGAAUUUUCAAGUGUGGUAAUAAAAUCAUGUUGUUUUUUACACAAUUAUGUAUGAGAAAGAGAUGGAUAUAAACGUGGAGACACUCAGUAUAUCCCUCCACAAUUGGAAAUUCCCUGAGGUCUUAUUAGUAGAGGGAGCCUAUAGGGAUCUGUUUGUGGAUUAUUUUGUGAAUGAAAAUCCGCUAA